AGAGAGGUGCCUCCUACAAUAACAGAGAUGGGCUGCAAACAUUGGAUGACCUGUGGCAGAGCACGGAAAGAAGGCAAGGAUGACAGCUACAUGCAGACAAGGUCUCCAGAUUUGCCACCCAUGCUGAGUGCCGUGGUGUGAUCAUGGCUUAUUUCAACCUCAACCUCCCCCACUCAAGCGAUCCUCCUGCCUCAGCCUCUGGAGUAGCUGGGACUACAGGCACGCACCACCACACCCAGCCAUAAUUUGCCUCUUGCUGUAACUAAAAGGUCACAAAAACAAAGAAUUCUAAAAAAUCUUCUUCU
rnacentral:lncRNA from 1 species